rnacentral:rRNA from 1 species
GUCGCUACUACCGAUUGAAUGGCUCAGUGAGGCCUUCGGACUGGCUCAGGGGGGUUGGCAACGACCGCCCAGAGCCGGAAAGUUGGUCAAACUUGGUCAUUUAGAGGAAGUAA